rnacentral:rRNA from 1 species
UACGUAGGGUGCAAGCGUUAAUCGGAGUUACUGGGCGUAAAGCGUGCGCAGGCGGUGAUGUAAGACAGAUGUGAAAUCCCCGGGCUCAACCUGGGACCUGCAUUUGUGACUGCAUCGCUAGAGUACGGUAGAGGGGGAUGGAAUUCCGCGUGUAGCAGUGAAAUGCGUAGAUAUGCGGAGGAACACCGAUGGCGAAGGCAAUCCCCUGGACCUGUACUGACGCUCAUGCACGAAAGCGUGGGGAGCAAACAGG